UUAAAUCUUUGACCUUUUUUGGUUAAGGGAUAUGGCCACUCCGUGUUUAGCGCGGUCGCCUAAAAUGUAUGGUUGGUCUCAUCAAGUUGAGAUGUGUAAUAAUAUUUAUUUCGCAAAACGCUUGAUAAGCUACCAAGUUUUGAUCUAUCCAACUCUGUUAGAUGUGGUCAAAACAAAUAUUUUUG
rnacentral:misc_RNA from 1 species